rnacentral:lncRNA from 1 species
GGCGCGUCAUCUGUGUCCCAUGGACACAUUUCCCCAUUUAUUUACCAUUGUUUGUCUUUUGGCCGUUUUUCGUUUUUUCACAUGACAUUGUCAGUAUGUUUUCGGCUUAUAAGUUUCAAUUUCCCGUUGCGCGGUAUAUUUCGCCUCCAAUAUUGUGAAGCAGCAAAACUGUGGUCGAAUAUGUGAACAUUGAAUGAAUCUCGUC